GUUUAGAUAGCUUAAUUAAAGCAUGUUAUUGAAGCUAACAAAAUGAAACCUUUCUCUAGACA
rnacentral:tRNA from 1 species